UUAAUUUUAAGCCUACAGAGAUUUCUAUAAUUUUUUGGUGUUUAAUAUGAACUUUAACCUACAUAUUCAGGAAUUUUAUUUACAAGCACCUUAUCUAUCCUUUAUCUUUCCUCUUUAGAGUGGAUGUAACUGAAAUCCAGGUAGCGUUAAUAAUCGUCUUUGUGUUGUCUACAUUUGGAGGAGCAACAAUGUGGGACUAUACGUUUUCUUGAACUGCAAUUGCCCAACAGAUACCCAUUCUAGAAAUAAAAUUGAAGAUUGUUCCAGUUCUUGGAGUAGUAGGUGGAGCAGUUUUUUCCUGUUCAAAUUAUUUCCAUGUUAUCCUUCAUGGUGGUGUUGGCAAGAAUGGAUCUACUAUAGCAGUAAGACAUUUAUUUCAUCUUUCAGUAUUAAUUUUAUGAUAAUUAUUUUAUUAUCAGCUAUAGAUAACUAAAUAUAUGCCAGGG
rnacentral:lncRNA from 1 species